UACGUAGGGACCAAGCGUUGUUCGGAUUUACUGGGCGUAAAGGGCGCGUAGGCGGCUAGAUGUGUCAAAGGUGAAAUCCCUCGGCUCAACUGAGGAACUGCCUUUGAAACUGUCUGGCUUGAGGCCGGGAGAGGGUAGCGGAAUUCCCAGUGUAGCGGUGAAAUGCGUAGAUAUUGGGAGGAACACCAGUGGCGAAGGCGGCUACCUGGACCGGUUCUGACGCUGAGGCGCGAAAGCGUGGGUAGCAAACAGG
rnacentral:rRNA from 1 species